AGAUUGAACGCUGGCGGCAGGCCUAACACAUGCAAGUCGAGCGGUAGAGAGGUGCUUGCAUCUCUUGAGAGCGGCGGACGGGUGAGUAAUGCCUAGGAAUCUGCCUAGUGGUGGGGGAUAACGUUCGGAAACGGACGCUAAUACCGCAUACGUCCUACGGGAGAAAGCGGGGGACCUUCGGGCCUCGCGCCAUUAGAUGAGCCUAGGUCGGAUUAGCUAGUUGGUGAGGUAAUGGCUCACCAAGGCGACGAUCCGUAACUGGUCUGAGAGGAUGAUCAGUCACACUGAACUGAGACACGGUCCAGACGUCCGUACGGGAGGCCAGCGAGGUCGGGAAUAGUUAGGACAAGUGGGACGAAAGGCCUAGACUCCGAGCCAGUCGGCCGGCGUACGGUGGUA
rnacentral:rRNA from 1 species